AUACGGGAGGCAGCAGUGGGGAAUUUUGGACAAUGGGCGCAAGCCUGAUCCAGCCAUGCCGCGUGAGUGAAGAAGGCCUUCGGGUUGUAAAGCUCUUUCAGACGGAAAGAAAUCGGUGUGUCUAAUACACGCACUGGAUGACGGUACCGUAAGAAGAAGCACCGGCUAACUACGUGCCAUCAGCCGCGGUAAUACGUAGGGUGCGAGCGUUAAUCGGAAUUACUGGGCGUAAAGCGUGCGCAGGCGGUUAUGUAAGACAGAUGUGAAAUCCCCGGGCUCAACCUGGGUACUGCGUUUGUGACUGCAUAACUAGAGUACGGCAGAGGGAGGUGGAAUUCCACGUGUAGCAGUGAAAUGCGUAGAGAUGUGGAGGAACACCGAUGGCGAAGGCAGCCUCCUGGGCCAGUACUGACGCUCAUGCACGAAAGCGUGGGGAGCAAACAGGAUUAGAUACCCGCGUAGUCC
rnacentral:rRNA from 1 species